rnacentral:rRNA from 1 species
GACGAACGCUGGCGGCGUGCUUAACACAUGCAAGUCGAACGGAAAGGCCCUGCUUUUGUGGGGUGCUCGAGUGGCGAACGGGUGAGUAACACGUGAGUAACCUGCCCUUGACUUUGGGAUAACUUCAGGAAACUGGGGCUAAUACCGGAUAGGAGCUCCUGCUGCAUGGUGGGGGUUGGAAAGUUUCGGCGGUUGGGGAUGGACUCGCGGCUUAUCAGCUUGUUGGUGGGGUAGUGGCUUACCAAGGCUUUGACGGGUAGCCGGCCUGAGAGGGUGACCGGCCACAUUGGGACUGAGAUACGGCCCAGACUCCUACGGGAGGCAGCAGUGGGGAAUAUUGCACAAUGGGCGGAAGCCUGAUGCAGCAACGCCGCGUGCGGGAUGACGGCCUUCGGGUUGUAAACCGCUUUCGCCUGUGACUAAGCGUGAGUGACGGUAAUGGGUAAAGAAGCACCGGCUAACUACGU